rnacentral:rRNA from 1 species
UACGGAGGGUGCAAGCGUUUAUCCGGAUUCACUGGGUUUAAAGGGUGCGUAGGCGGCGCGGUAAGUCGGGUGUGAAAUCUCGGAGCUUAACUCCGAAACUGCAUUCGAUACUGCCGUGCUUGAGGACUGGAGAGGAGACUGGAAUUUACGGUGUAGCGGUGAAAUGCGUAGAUAUCGUAAGGAAGACCAGUGGCGAAGGCGGGUCUCUGGACAGUUCCUGACGCUGAGGCACGAAGGUCAGGGGGAGCAAAACGGGG